GGAUUAGAUACCCUGGUAGUCCUAGCUGUAAACGAUGGGCACUGGGUUGAGGGGGAGUCAAUUCCUUCUCAGCCGUAGCUAAUGUGUUAAGUGCCCCGCCUGGGGAGUACGGUCGCAAGGCUAAAACUCAAAGGAAUUGACGGGGGCUCACACAAGCGGUGGAGCAUGUGGUUUAAUUCGAAGCAACGCGAAGAACCUUACCCGGGUUUGAAAUCUACGGAUGCGGCCUGUGAAAGCUGGCUUAGCUGCCUUUCGGGGUGAAACGUAGACAGGUGUUGCAUGGCUGUCGUCAGCUCGUGUUG
rnacentral:rRNA from 1 species